AAAAUUCUAUGGGAAAUUAUCUCUGACUCUUGACUCUGCAUGAUUCUAUGUAAUUGUUAGGAGAAUUAGAAACAUUGCUUCCACAUGUGCUCCUGCAGACCCAACAUCUCUGACAAAGAAGCCCAGCUUGUUUUCUCUUGAUCGUUUCCACUUCUGAGCUAUUCACACUGCGAUAUAAAUGAUUAAUAUCAAAUUAAUCCUCAAUAUGGAAAAGAGAACAUCAAAAUGUCAGGUGUCCCAGAGCCAGAGAACUGGUCCAAGAACUUAGCACUCUCCACUUGUUUAGUCCAGAGAGGAUGCGGCCCUGAGUGUCAUGCUGAUGGUGAAAAUGGAGAAGCUCAAGAAGACAAAGAAAGCAAAGAAAAGGCUGAAACCCUUGGAUGCUGG
ensembl:lncRNA